AUGCUUACCUGGUGUGGGAGAUACCAUGAUCAUGAAGGUGGUUCUUCCAGGUUAAGACUCACCCAUUGCACUCGGGUGUGUUGACCCCUGCGAUUUCCCCAAAUGUAGGAAACUUGACUGUAUAAUUUGUGGUAGUGGGGACUGCAUUUGCAUUAUCCCCU